CCGCGCGCGUGCGGCCCCGUGCGCGCUCCGGCUCCGCGCGCCUGCCGGGCGUGGGCGGGCGGCCAGGCCGCCGGGGACCCGGCACCCGCGUCGCGUUCCCGAGGGCGUGACUGCCCCAGGGGGCCGUGGGGUGGUGGAAAGUAGCUCCCAUUCGCUGCCGAUUCACCCGAACGGCAAAGUUGGAUGUUGCCCUCUCAACGUCCCAACCCAUCUGUACCUCGGACACAGCCGAGCAUCAGAGGUUUUCUGGGAUUGCAGAGAAGGAGUGGCCAUGAGGAAAGCCCCUGAGAGGAGUGAGCCGUGCUAGCUUGGAUACCCGACACCGGGCCCCUGGAACUGGCCUGCCGAGAGACGCUGGAUUAUCAAAGACCCGGGCGGGGACAGCCCAAGCUGUGGAGCAACCUUGCGAGGGAGAGGUUGUGGAGGGUGGAGCGUGAACAAGAUCCGUCCUGCACCUGAAGUGUAAACAUAAGGAUGAUGCGGAAGCUCUUCGGUUGACCUACCCACAACCCCACCCUGCGUGAGACCCAGAUUGUGAGCAUUAACAGCCAAUCUAUGUGGACACCAGCUCCAGCUGUUAAUACCUGUGCAGGCAAGCAUGUGAACAUGGGUUAAUUUUCUGUUCUCAAUAAAUUGUCCACUAGGCAUUUCCAAAAGCUUUAAUCGAUGGCCACUUGGACGGUACCACUUGGAGUUUUGUUUCAGAAAUGUCUUCCUAAUAUCCAUAGGCACCACACCUUCUGACCACUAGUGUUCCCUAAUGCCCAAACCUCUUAAGGGUAAAAUAAGUAUAAUCAACUUUGCCUACAGUAAGAUUGCAUAUUUAUUAAGUUCUCAAAGAAGUUGUUUAUCUGAGUAUCUUAUUGACUAGAAGAUGUUGGGAAAUGACCAUCUGUUCGCCUACUCAAGUAACCUUCCAAUUGUCUUCAUUUUUAAUUAAAGCAUCAGUUAAUACAUGCAUAUAACUUAAAUUACUGCCAUAUGAGUCCUUAUCAUGGGUUUGUUUUUUUUUUCUACCCAUGAUAGAUCUUACCUUAAGGCUCUGGUAUUUUGAGAAUUAAACUCCUGAAUAUAAAUGUUUCUCCAUUCCUGCUUUUGCCUGUUUAUGGCACUUGCUGGGAACCCAGACUGCAAGCCUUUCUUCAGUUUGUCCACAUUUGAAGAAUUGUUUGGUCUCUUUAAGCCAAACAUGAGAAUAAUUAGUCUAGGAUUCAGAUAAGCAGACCUAAUAAACUAUCCCAAAUAGGAAUCAGUUCUGCUCUUUUUCUCUGCCUCUUCAAUACAGGAAAGCCAAAUUCUCAGCACAAGAACCUGGUAAUGGUUUCACUAUUUUGUUUGCUGGGAUUAUCAUCUGUGCAGAUAACUGCAUUUGCAUCACUAAUAGACUUCUUUCAAAGAGAAAAGACAUUUCAGUAGGGCUGAACCGGUCUUUAAGGUUUUGUUUGUUCCAUUUUGGCAGG